GUAAAAGUUUCAACAGUUACACCACAGAUAUUUUUAUUGAAGCACUUUUACAAAUCACUUGAAGAACACAACGCGUACGCACGUACACUUUUCACUGGAAUAAGGGGAUGGAUCAAACUAUAUAAAACUGAUCAUCUCUUGCAGGAUUCUCAGGCGUUCAAGCCUUCAUUCUGCGUACACUACAGCUAUAUCCUCAUAGAUUCUAACUGUAGUAGCGACGGCGCAACAGGCCGCUUCCUAUUGGUUAAUCGGAGUUACACUGAAAAACAAGCUCACACUCUCGACCAAUCGUAACAUUCUUGAUACACUAUUAACCGCAUCGGAUAUACAGAUUUUUCCCAGUUGUUGAUUUUGACCAAUGGCAGAAACUUGUCGCGUGACGUCAUAUUGUUAUCGUGGUUGGAUUGGUUAAACGUAGCAGUACGUGCAAUUGGAGAAAAGGAUUCUGCCUUUGAAACAGUAAUUUCCGACGAGCUCUUGAUAAAAUUAUUAAAUUUGACGAUCAAUAUUUUCUACUGUACCAUACGCGAAAAUAUCAUUUAUAUUAGUUCAUAGAAAAUGAUAAUUGAUAUAUUCAUUUCGCACACUAAGCAAAUACUCAAGUUUCGAUUUCGAUAUACUUCUGCAUUAACCUCUAAAAUAUAAAAGCUAACAUUUUUAAUGCUCGAUAUAUAUUAUUGCUGUGUAUAAUGAAUUUACAACUAUCAGAUUAUGAUUACAAUACUAGAAUUUCAUAAAUUUAUAUCUGAAAGAGAUAAAAAUUUGUAAUAAAAUAUUG
rnacentral:misc_RNA from 1 species